UGAAAGCUUAUAAGACACAGAGACCCUUCCUCAAAAAGGGAGGAGCGGCGAUUCCGAUUUUGGCUCUUCUUCCUCAUUUUCUCGUGGGCAUCAGGAGAGAACCAGAAAAAAAAAACAAUCCUCUCUCACUCCUAAGAACGACCAGACCUCUCUCACUCCCUCCCCAUUUUCUUUUUCUCACUCACACACGCAAAGUCAUAACAAAAAUAGUUAAAAUUUCUGAGUUCAAGCUUUACACUCUAGAUUUAAAAAAAAUACAUCUAAAGAAAGAGUAAAAUAAGAGUGGUCUCAAUUUCUGCUGCACUACCUUGUGAUUUCUGAGAUUUUGAGCUAUCUUUUGGGCUUGGAAUUGAAGCCGCUCUUGCUGGGUUUGUUGUGGCUGAACAUUGGCUGGACUAGUAGUUGAUUCUUCAUACCUAGUUUCUCUUUGACCUUUAUUUGGUCGUGGAUUCUCUGUUUGAUUUCAAGUUACUAGGUAUGUGACUAUACCUUUGAGUUUUGUUAAAAUGUUAAUCAAAAAUCUGAGUUACAUGUUAGUUUGUUAUUUGAUAUGAGAUUUAUCCACACUGGUGUUAGUUUGUGCUUGUUAUAAAUAUUCAUGCCGUCACUUGUUUGAGUAUAAUACAGAGUAUUGAAAUAGUCUUUAAGAGUUCUGCUCGUUGGUGAGUUUAAUGCUUAUUUCCUAUCUCAAAUUCUGGUGGCCAGAUUUUGAAAGAGAAUAUGGCUUCUUUGGGGCAGCUCCUUCAAGUCAUUUUUCCUUUAAAAAAUGGUGUAUAUUAUACUGAUACAUGGGGUGAAAAUGAUCACUCCUUUAAUUACCUCCCUUGGUCUCUACUCUUGUUUAACUCUUGAAAUUGUUGUCGA
rnacentral:lncRNA from 1 species